rnacentral:rRNA from 1 species
AACGUAGGAUCCGAGCGUUGUCCGGAAUCACUGGGUGUAAAGGGUGCGUAGGCGGGCUUGCGCGUCAAGGGUUAAAGACCUCGGCUCAACCGAGGGAAUGCCCUUGAUACGGCAGGUCUUGAGUGCGGGGGAGGAAGGUGGAAUUCCUGGUGUAGCGGUGAAAAGCGUAGAGAUCAGGAGGAAAACCGAAGGCGAAGGCAGCCAUCUGGACCGCCACUGACGCUGAGGCACGAAAGCGUGGGGAGCAAACAGG